rnacentral:rRNA from 1 species
ACGGGGCCCGCACAAGCGGUGGAGCAUGUGGUUUAAUUCGAUGCAACGCGAAGAACCUUACCAGCCCUUGACAUCCUCGGAAUCCUGCAGAGAUGCGGGAGUGCCUUCGGGAGCCGAGAGACAGGUGCUGCAUGGCUGUCGUCAGCUCGUGUCGUGAGAUGUUGGGUUAAGUCCCGUAACGAGCGCAACCCUUGCCCUUAGUUGCCAGCGCGUCAAGGCGGGAACUCUAAGGGGACUGCCGGUGAUAAACCGGAGGAAGGUGGGAUGACGUCAAGUCCUCAUGGCCUUUAUGUCUAGGGCUACACACGUACUACAAUGGCAGGUACAAAGGGCAGCGACACAGCGAUGUGAUGCGAAUCCCGAAAAGCCUGUCUCAGUCCGGAUCGGAGUCUGCAACUCGACUCCGUGAAGUUGGAAUCGCUAGUAAUCGUGGAUCAGCAUGCCACGGUGAAUACGUUCCCGGGCCUU